GGUUUUAUACUUUAAGAAAAAGGGUUGCUUUGCGGGCAAAGAAUGAGAUUGUUUGUCUAAAACCA
rnacentral:tRNA from 1 species